AUGACCCCCAGCCUGGCCAUUGCCUUCCUCCUGCUGCUCCCCGUGGGUGUCUAUUCCCAGGUCAGCCUGGUGGAGUCCGGAGGGGGAGUCAUGAAGCCCGGGGAGACCCUCAGACUGACCUGCACUGUGUCCGGAUUCUCCAUCACUAGCUACUGGGUGCACUGGGCCCGCCAGCCAGCGGGGAAAGGGUUGGACUGGAUGGGAGGCUGCACCCGGAGAGACAAUCUGCAGCCCCUGGGUCUGUGCAGUGACCGGCCAGUCCCUGAGAACUUUUCCCUCCAGCACCAGGGAAAUAUGACGCUUUGGCUCCAUUUAGUUUUCAUUGUAGCAGCUUUGGAAGGUAUCCGGUCCCAGGUCCAGCUGGUGGAGUCCGGCGGGGAUGUGAAAAAGCCCAGAGACUCUCUCCGCCUCUCCUGCAAAGCCUCCGGCUUCACCUUCAGCAGCUACAGUAUGAACGGGGUCCGACAGGCUCCCGGGAAGGGACUGGAGUGGGUGGCUGAGGUCAGCAAACCGACCGGAUCGAGCCAAUGGUACUCUCUGGCAGUUCAAGGGCGAUUCACCAUUUCCCGCGACACUUCAGUCAACACGGUGUAUCUUCAAAUGACCGGCCUGAAGCCCGAGGACACCGCCCGGUAUCACUGUGCGAGAGACACAGUGCGGGGAAAUGAAUUUACAGUCGGGCAAAAUCCUACCGCUGUAGAUUGAAAACAACGUAUUCAGCCCUUGGGGGCGGUCGAGAGC